rnacentral:lncRNA from 10 species
UUUGGCCUUUGGCAAUUCAGUAAACAUUUUAGCAAUUUCUUCUUUCCUGCCUGCUGAAGACUGACUUCCUCCUGCUGCCAAAGUUCUAGAGUCUGGACGUCUGAGAUCAGGGUGCCAGCACUGUCGAGGUCACAGACUGCAGACCUCCUUGUAUCUUCAAAUGGAGGAAAGAGGACAAGAGAGCUCCUGUGGUCCCUUUUAUCAAGAUGAAUGCACAAGGAAAAUGUUGUACAUUUGCACAUUGGAGUACACUUCAGCCAUAAAAAGAAUGAGAUGCUGUCAUUUGCAACAACAGGUCAACAGCAAUCUGAGACACACUCUUCUCAUGGCAGAUUAUGGGACCAUAAAGCAGGUAAGUAGUUAAGUUUUUGGCUCAGAACUAAUAGACUGAUAUUUCUUUCUACAUUUCUUUCACCAAAAUAAGUCAUGG